ACUCACUCAAUUAGUUGAGAAGAUGAGUCGUCAACCAGCUGCUAAAACAAGUUGCCAGGUUAAACCACAGCCAAACAAAGAACAAGAGUUGUACGAGCACGUCGAGAUGCAGGAACAACAAUCUCAUUACAUGACAAUCAAUCGUCUUAACCACGUUGAAGUUGAGAACAACUCCCAACUAGCCGGUCAAAUCUCCACUAAAAUCGAGAGGUGGAAAUGUGUUGUGAUUGCACUGAUGACUGUAUUUCUGGUCAUUGCUCUAGUUGUGUGUCUGGUGGCUGUCAUCAUUAUACAGUCCUUUGGUCAGCGGUGGAGACACUGGGAAUCUAUUGUCGAGGAUUCAACAGCUGGAGGAAAAAAACACUGCUAAAGAAUCUCAGAUAGCCAGCAUACAACACUUAGUACAGACAUCAACUUUGGCACAAAACAAUUUUCGUCAAGAUUUGGACUGUCUCCGCACAGUUAACCUCUAUGGGGGCUGUACCAAUGAGACCAGGACUUGACUGUUGUUAUCAUUAAGCAAUGAUUGGAUCGCUUGCAACACUGGUUUUUUACUGAUCAUCAAUCCUGGAGACACACAGUACUUCACAUCCAGCAUAGUGUGUGAUGUGUCCAGUUCCAACUACCUUGUGUCAACCUCGUACAUACAAGAGUGGAAACACUAUUUGCUGCGAAUGUGAAGUUACCUAUCCCAUUAGUGCUGGUCACAACACAUUCCUGUACAUGCAGUGCCGUCUGCACACUGACUGUCACCAAGUGUCCUUAUACUUGAAACCUCCUGAACUGAACUGAUACCUAUUUGCUGAAACAGAACUGAGUGUAUAUAUUUAAUAGAAUGAGUAGCUACAUGGUGUUUAUAAUGUUAUCUGUUACCCUCUAGCUUAAAAUUAAGUGUAUACUUCAAAUUUUUGUCUGAUUACUGUAUACCAUCAUAAUGUUCUAGCUGCUGCAA